UACAGAGGUCUCAAGCGUUGUUCGGAUUCAUUGGGCGUAAAGGGUGCGUAGGUGGCGCUGUAAGUCGGGUGUGAAAUUUCGGAGCUUAACUCCGAAACUGCAUUCGAUACUGCGGUGCUUGAGGACUGGAGAGGAGUACUGGAAUUCAUGGUGGUAGCAGUGAAAUGCGUAGAUAUCGUAAGGAAGACCAGUGGCGAAGGCGGGUCUCUGGACAGUUCCGUACGCUGAGGCACGAAGGCCAGGGAGCAAACGG
rnacentral:rRNA from 1 species